GACGAACGCUGGCGGCGUGCUUAACACAUGCAAGUCGAACGGAAAGGCCCUGCUUUUGUGGGGUGCUCGAGUGACGAACGGGUGAGUAACACGUGAGUAACCUGCCCUUGACUUUGGGAUAACUUCAGGAAACUGGGGCUAAUACCGGAUAGGAGCUCCUGCUGCAUGGUGGGGGUUGGAAAGUUUCGGCGGUUGGGGAUGGACUCGCGGCUUAUCAGCUUGUUGGUGGGGUAGUGGCUUACCAAGGCUUUGACGGGUAGCCGGCCUGAGAGGGUGACCGGCCACAUUGGGACUGAGAUACGGCCCAGACUCCUACGGGAGGCAGCAGUGGGGAAUAUUGCACAAGGGGCGGAAGCCUGAUGCAGCAACGCCGCGUGCGGGAUGACGGCCUUCGGGUUGUAAACCGCUUUCGCCUGUGACGAAGCGUGAGUGACGGUAAUGGGUAAAGAAGCACCGGCUAACUACGUG
rnacentral:rRNA from 1 species